rnacentral:rRNA from 1 species
AGAGUUUGAUCAUGGCUCAGAAUCAACGCUGGCGGCGCGCUUAACACAUGCAAGUCGCACGAGAAAGUGGAGCAAUCCAUGAGUAAAGUGGCGUACGGGUGAGUAACACGUGGAUCAUCUACCUCUUAGUGGGGAAUAACCCUGGGAAACCGGGGCUAAUACCGCAUAAGCCUGAGAAGGGAAAGCAGCAAUGCGCUGAGAGAGGAGUCCGCGGCCGAUUAGCUAGUUGGUAGGGUAAUGGCCUACCAAGGCAAUGAUCGGUAGCCGGCCUGAGAGGGCACACGGCCACACUGGCACUGAAACACGGGCCAGACUCCUACGGGAGGCAGCAGUGGGGAAUCUUGCACAAUGGAGGAAACUCUGAUGCAGCGACGCCGCGUGAGCGAUGAAGCCCUUCGGGGUGUAAAGCUCUUUCGACGGGAACGAUAAUGACGGUACCCGGAGAAGAAGCUGCGGCUAACUACGUGCCAGCAGCCGCGGUAAUACGUAGGCAGCAAGCGUUGUUCGGAAUUACUGGGCGUAAAGAGUGUGUAGGCGGUUCUCUAUGUUCGGUGUGAAAUCUCCCGGCUUAACUGGGAGGGUGCGCCGAAAACUGGAGGGUUUGAGUAUGGGAGAGGAAAGCGGAAUUCCUGGUGUAGCGGUGAAAUGCGUAGAUAUCAGGAGGAACACCUGCGGUGUAGACGGCUUUCUGGACCAUCACUGACGCUGAGACACGAAAGCGUGGGUAGCAAACAGGAUUAGAUACCCUAGUAGUCC